rnacentral:rRNA from 1 species
AGCGAACGCUGGCGGCAGGCCUAACACAUGCAAGUCGAACGAACCCUUCGGGGUUAGUGGCGGACGGGUGAGUAACACGUGGGAACGUGCCUUUAGGUUCGGAAUAGCUCAGGGAAACUUGUGCUAAUACCGAAUGUGCCCUUCGGGGGAAAGAUUUAUCGCCUUUAGAGCGGCCCGCGUCUGAUUAGCUAGUUGGUGAGGUAAUGGCUCACCAAGGCUACGAUCAGUAGCUGGUCUGAGAGGAUGACCAGCCACAUUGGGACUGAGACACGGCCCAAACUCCUACGGGAGGCAGCAGUGGGGAAUCUUGCGCAAUGGGCGAAAGCCUGACGCAGCCAUGCCGCGUGGAUGAUGAAGGUCUUAGGAUUGUAAAAUCCUUUCACCGGUGAAGAUAAUGACUGUAGCCGGAGAAGAAGCCCCGGCUAACUUCGUGCCAGCCGCCGCCGCGGUAA